rnacentral:misc_RNA from 1 species
CGAGCUCUUUACAAUGAUAUGUCAAGGUACAUCUGCUGUGCUGGAUACAUACCGUGCAGUGGCAAGUGCGGAGAAAGUCAUUGCCCUGAACUAUGUCUCUGCACUGAGGUCUUCUGUUGCUUUUCAAAUUCAGUUGCUUCAACUCGCUUCCUACUGCAAGACGAAUUCAACAUACAGACUACACAGUGUGACAAUUGCAUCAUUGGAUUCAUGAUGUGCCUGCAGCAAUUGGCAUGCAUAUGUUCCUUGGUUGCUUGUAUAACCGGAAGUGAUGAAAUUGGAGACCUUGCUGACAUGUUGACUUGUUUGGCUGACUUGGUUUUUUGCUCGGUUUGCCCAUGCAUUCAGACCCAGCACAAGAUCGAAAUGGAUAAAAGAGACGGCAAGUUUGGGCCACAGCCUGUAAUGGCAGUGCCUCCGAUGCAGCAAAUGUCACGCAUUGAUCAGCCAACUCCUCCACCGGUGGGCUAUCCACCACAACAAGGGCAUGCACCUUACGGGCAACCCCC